AGAGUUUGAUCCUGGCUCAGGAUGAACGCCGGCGGUGUGCCUAAUACAUGCAAGUCGUACGCACUGGCCCAACUGAUUGAUGGUGCUUGCACCUGAUUGACGAUGGAUUACCAGUGAGUGGCGGACGGGUGAGUAACACGUAGGUAACCUGCCCCGGAGCGGGGGAUAACAUUUGGAAACAGAUGCUAAUACCGCAUAACAACAAAAGCCACAUGGCUUUUGUUUGAAAGAUGGCUUUGGCUAUCACUCUGGGAUGGACCUGCGGUGCAUUAGCUAGUUGGUAAGGUAACGGCUUACCAAGGCGAUGAUGCAUAGCCGAGUUGAGAGACUGAUCGGCCACAAUGGAACUGAGACACGGUCCAUACUCCUACGGGAGGCAGCAGUAGGGAAUCUUCCACAAUGGGCGCAAGCCUGAUGGAGCAACACCGCGUGAGUGAAGAAGGGUUUCGGCUCGUAAAGCUCUGUUGUGGAGAAGAACGUGCGUGAGAGUAACUGUUCACGCAGUGACGGUAUCCAACCAGAAAGUCACGGCUAACUACGUGCCAGCAGCCGCGGUAAUACGUAGGUGGCAAGCGUUAUCCGGAUUUAUUGGGCGUAAAGCGAGCGCAGGCGGUUGCUUAGGUCUGAUGUGAAAGCCUUCGGCUUAACCGAAGAAGUGCAUCGGAAACCGGGCGACUUGAGUGCAGAAGAGGACAGUGGAACUCCAUGUGUAGCGGUGGAAUGCGUAGAUAUAUGGAAGAACACCAGUGGCGAAGGCGGCUGUCUGGUCUGCAACUGACGCUGAGGCUCGAAAGCAUGGGUAGCGAACAGGAUUAGAUACCCUGGUAGUCCAUGCCGUAAACGAUGAGUGCUAGGUGUUGGAGGGUUUCCGCCCUUCAGUGCCGGAGCUAACGCAUUAAGCACUCCGCCUGGGGAGUACGACCGCAAGGUUGAAACUCAAAGGAAUUGACGGGGGCCCGCACAAGCGGUGGAGCAUGUGGUUUAAUUCGAAGCUACGCGAAGAACCUUACCAGGUCUUGACAUCUUGCGCUAACCUUAGAGAUAAGGCGUUCCCUUCGGGGACGCAAUGACAGGUGGUGCAUGGUCGUCGUCAGCUCGUGUCGUGAGAUGUUGGGUUAAGUCCCGCAACGAGCGCAACCCUUGUUACUAGUUGCCAGCAUUAAGUUGGGCACUCUAGUGAGACUGCCGGUGACAAACCGGAGGAAGGUGGGGACGACGUCAGAUCAUCAUGCCCCUUAUGACCUGGGCUACACACGUGCUACAAUGGACGGUACAACGAGUCGCAAGCUCGCGAGAGUAAGCUAAUCUCUUAAAGCCGUUCUCAGUUCGGACUGUAGGCUGCAACUCGCCUACACGAAGUCGGAAUCGCUAGUAAUCGCGGAUCAGCAUGCCGCGGUGAAUACGUUCCCGGGCCUUGUACACACCGCCCGUCACACCAUGGGAGUUUGUAACGCCCAAAGUCGGUGGCCUAACCUUUAUGGAGGGAGCCGCCUAAGGCGGGACAGAUGACUGGGGUGAAGUCGUAACAAGGUAGCCGUAGGAGAACCUGCGGCUGGAUCACCUCCUUU
rnacentral:rRNA from 1 species